rnacentral:rRNA from 1 species
UAUUGGACAAUGGGGGGAACCCUGAUCCAGCGACGCCGCGUGAGUGAAGAAGUAUCUCGGUAUGUAAAGCUCUAUCAGCAGGGAAGAAAGAAAUGACGGUACCUGAGUACGAAGCCCCGGCUAACUACGUGCCAGCAGCCGCGGUAAUACGUAGGGGGCAAGCGUUAUCCGGAUUUACUGGGUGUAAAGGGAGCGUAGGCGGUGAUGCAAGUCAGAAGUGAAAACCCGCAGCUCAACUGCGGGACUGCUUUUGAAACUGUAUGACUAGAUUGCAGGAGAGGUAAGUGGAAUUCCUAGUGUAGCGGUGAAAUGCGUAGAUAUUAGGAGGAACACCAGUGGCGAAGGCGGCUUACUGGACUGUAAAUGACGCUGAGGCUCGAAAGCGUGGGGAGCAAACAGG